rnacentral:rRNA from 1 species
GACGAACGCUGGCGGCGUGCUUAACACAUGCAAGUCGAGCGGAAAGGCCCUUCGGGGUACUCGAGCGGCGAACGGGUGAGUAACACGUGAGUAACCUGCCCCAGACUUUGGGAUAACCCUCGGAAACGGGGGCUAAUACCGGAUACGACACAGCUUCGCAUGGGGUCUGUGUGGAAAGUUUUUCGGUUUUGGAUGGGCUCGCGGCCUAUCAGCUUGUUGGUGGGGUGAUGGCAUACCAAGGCGACGACGGGUAGCCGGCCUGAGAGGGCGACCGGCCACACUGGGACUGAGACACGGCCCAGACUCCUACGGGAGGCAGCAGUGGGGAAUAUUGCACAAUGGGCGGAAGCCUGAUGCAGCGACGCCGCGUGAGGGAUGACGGCCUUCGGGUUGUAAACCUCUUUCAGCAGGGACGAAGCGUAAGUGACGGUACCUGCAGAAGAAGCGCCGGCCAACUACGUG